UACGUAGGGUGCAAGCGUUGUCCGGAAUUAUUGGGCGUAAAGAGCUCGUAGGCGGUUUGUCGCGUCUGCUGUGAAAACUCGGGGCUUAACCCCGGGCCUGCAGUGGGUACGGGCAGACUAGAGUGCGGUAGGGGAGACUGGAAUUCCUGGUGUAGCGGUGAAAUGCGCAGAUAUCAGGAGGAACACCGGUGGCGAAGGCGGGUCUCUGGGCCGUAACUGACGCUGAGGAGCGCAAGCGUGGGGAGCGAACAGG
rnacentral:rRNA from 1 species